CUUUGAAGCAGGGGAGUGCUGUGACUCCUGGCAUACACAAGUUCAGGGCACAUUUAUUGUAGAUUUCUGCACUCUGAGCACACGAACACUAAAUUCAGCUGGCAGCUCCUAGAAGGGAAUGAAUAGAGCUAAGAACUUCUCUUCAGUUAUUGACACUUCGUGAGUGGAAUAAAGUUCAGUAUCUCAGUGCCAGUAUGAUUGUAUUCACAUUACGAGACAUGAGCAGAGUUUUGGC